rnacentral:rRNA from 1 species
CAGCCGCCACGGUAAUACGUAGGUGGCAAGCGUUGUCCGGAAUUAUUGGGCGUAAAGGGCUCACAGGCGGUUUCUUAAGUCUGAUGUGAAAGCCCCCGGCUCAACCGGGGAGGGUCAUUGGAAACUGGGAAACUUGAGUGCAGAAAAGGAGAGUGGAAUUCCACGUGUAGCGGUGAAAUGCGUAGAGAUGUGGAGGAACACCAGUGGCGAAGGCGACUCUCUGGUCUGUAACUGACGCUGAGGAGCGAAAGCGUGGGGAGCGAACAGGAUUAGAUACCCCUGUAGUCCCUGUCUCUUAUAC